UUUUUUAUUUUUCUGUACAACUGGUAUGCAAUUGAAUAUAUUGUAUAUAUGUUUUUCACCUGUGUGUGUGUUGGUGAUUAAGUUAAGCCCCUCUGGGGGUCACCUGGUACAUGGUUGUGUGUGACCGUCUGCGAGGGAUCGAAAUGGUGCAAAAACAAAUGGGACAGCACUGCUGCAACAUGUCCCGUGAACAUGUGCUUUUUACUCUCUCAUUUGUCUUCCAGGCUCUUUCCAAAUAAGCUCGAAAGGGUCAUUUUGAAUAAUGUUUUUAUUGUUCAUCAUCAAAACACCUUCAAUGACAUAAUUGAAUAUUUGAUGAAUAAAUUCAUAAAUACUGUCUGACUUCACCUCUUUUUUCCAAAACAGUGGCACAGCCCUGAACCCCCACAGACUUUAAGGAAGCAUUCCUCCAAGGCCGUGAGUUUGCAGGGGGGAGAUUUGGAUUGGGUCCUUUUUUUCACCUCACAAUAUGAAUUGUUGGUAAUUCCCUGAAGCAGAAAUCGAGCCCUCAAACCAAACUAAAACCCUCGGGGACGUAACGGGAGCGCUUCUCAAAGACACGGCGGGCGCGUGCUGGGGUGCAUUGAGACGGGUCCCAACAAGCCCCCCUUCACUUUACCGUUCCUCCCAAAGAGGGCAAUACAGGACUGCAGUUGCACAAGUGGAGUGCAGCUCUGACGCGGAGAGCACAUUUCCAAUGGUGGUCACAAUCUGCUGGAAGACUCAGUCCCCCUGUGUGUGUGUGUGUGUGUGUGUGUGUGUGUGUGUGUCUGAUUCACACGUCUCAUGACCUGAACUGUCGGAGAACUUGCUGUUCGACAGUCUGCAAACAAAUCCCACUGACUCUCCGAGAGAAUCAGAAUAAAGAGAAGAAAACGGGCUACAGGGUGAAGAAGUGCCACAAAUGAACCUGAUAUCCAAAAAAGGCUCAUGGAGCCUCCUGGCACAACGAUCGCUCUUACACAUCACCCACUCUGGAGUUGAUUCCCUCAUUUUCUCUGCCGCGCUCUCAGAUGAGGAGCCGCGGGCGCCGCUGUGGAUAAGUGGAUAAGGAAUCGUGGAGGGAGAGGAGGGAGGGGGAGUGUGGGAGUUUGCUCAACAUCUAUAAAUCCUUUAAAAAUAUUGAAACUAAUUCGAACCACACCAGCAGAAAACGCACCGCAGCGUCAACAAUGGCCUCAAACUGGUCUGCAGUAUGUUGCAGUUUCACUGAACGUGUAACAGGACAGAACGUCCAAGUUUAGUCCCUAAUGAAGACUCCACUUGCUGUUAAUGCGAGAGGUUUACAGCCGAGAUAACCCCGUUCACAUGAUCUGGAUUAGUUGACAGCUGCAGGAAGACAUCACGCUAUUUUGCCUGAAUGGUACUUUUUAUUAAUAAGGAAAAAAGGUUGAAGAAUGCACCAUUCUGGUUUUCCACUUAUUUAUAAGACACCCGCCAUCCGCUGGUUUCUGCACUGCAGUUUUGAAGCCUCGAGCGUUUUUGCCAGUCGCCAGCUUGUUUUGAUACAACCACUGAACAGAAGUGACCAUAUGCUACAGAGACAACGAUACGCCGCAUGGAGCUCUGGAAGCCCCCCGACAAUCCCAUGCUAGUCUGCUUCAUAGCGUACAGUGAAUUUGCGUUGAGACUUGAAACUAGAGAUUGAGAACAUAAACUGAUGUUUACCAUGUUUACUGCAGGUAAUAAAUCAAGUGACAAGUAGUCAUUUUAUCACUAGACUUCUACAUGAUUACCUCUUUGUCGCCUCCUGCUCUCCACUAGAGAAAGUUUAACGGAUUUCACUUUUCCGGAACCAAUGUUUUGCCCCAUGAGGACAAGUUGUUACCUGGACCAGGCACUUUUCUAAAAUACCGCCUCAUUCAAGGUUACGAACAAGUUGAGCCGAUACUUAAAAGGUAGAGUUUCAUAUGUCAACAGAAAGCACGUGGUCCUGUUUCACCCUAGCGACACCAAUUUGGGCUGCAAACCGAGCUUUUCACCAUUCUUUUGCCUUUUAAUCCUUAGUCCAUCUUCAGCCGCUUCUACGCAGUCGGGUCACAGGGGAAGUCAGCCGGGGACCCCGAACUUUCCGCUACAUCUAGUUCUGACUGGGGGGGGGGGGUCAGUUUACUGUACCACCUCCUGCUGUGAUUGACCCGUCAAUGAAAACUCUCAUAUGUCCAAUGUCAUUAGUGCAAAUAUUACAGCCGGUCACUCUCUUCUUAAGAAAAUUAUACCUGAAUCACGGGGGAAAGUUGCGUUUGUGAGGGACUAUUUUCAGCCGUGGAUUAAUACACAUCUGGUGGCGUAGCAGACAUCUGGGGCAGCGUGCAGUGUUUGUUGGUCUAAGUGAAAAUAAACUAAGCUGUUUUCUAGAUGGUGAUGUGUUUUUGAAUCAAUGGCUUUCAUACGCACAGAACACUUGUUAGCCGACUCUCUCGUUGCUGUCUCGGGUCUUUUCAUUUCAAUCACGACAAGCACUUUAAGCAAUUGAGUGAAUGUCAAGCUGUGGCGCGUGUGUGUGCGUGUGCGUGUGUGUGUGUGUGUGUGUGCGUGUGUGUGUGAGUGACUGAGUGUCUGUCAGGAUUACAGCUGCCGACAACCUCCGAGCCUUAAACUUUUCUACGGUUCUUACUGGAUGUUACAGGUGAGCAUCCCGGUUCGAGGGUAAACAGGCGGCGCAGCCAGCGCGUCGUGCAAGGAGAGAGCAGCGGGUGAUGGUGCACAUACUGCAGCGCCUCUUGAUGCCUCCCCCACCCCUCCCUCCCGUGGAGAGACGCUCCUCAUCAGAAUAGCUC
ensembl:lncRNA